GACCUCGGAUCAGGUAGGGAUACCCGCUGAACUUAAGCAUAUCAAUAAGCGGAGGAAAAGAAACCAACAGGGAUUGCCUCAGUAACGGCGAGUGAAGCGGCAACAGCUCCUUUUUCACUAGUGAAUUC
rnacentral:rRNA from 1 species